rfam:Niastella vici strain DJ57 contig12, whole genome shotgun sequence.
AGUGGGGAAGCCGAAAACCACUAAAAAAGAGUAGGCG